rnacentral:rRNA from 1 species
AUUGAACGCUGGCGGCAGGCCUAACACAUGCAAGUCGAACGGUAACAGGAAACAGCUUGCUGUUUCGCUGACGAGUGGCGGACGGGUGAGUAAUGUCUGGGAAACUGCCUGAUGGAGGGGGAUAACUACUGGAAACGGUAGCUAAUACCGCAUAACGUCGCAAGACCAAAGAGGGGGACCCUCGGGCCUCUUGUCAUCGGAUGUGCCCAGAUGGGAUUAGCUUGUUGGUGGGGUAACGGCUCACCAAGGCGACGAUCCCUAGCUGGUCUGAGAGGAUGACCAGCCACACUGGAACUGAGACACGGUCCAGACUCCUACGGGAGGCAGCAGUGGGGAAUAUUGCACAAUGGGCGCAAGCCUGAUGCAGCCAUGCCGCGUGUAUGAAGAAGGCCUUCGGGUUGUAAAGUACUUUCAGCGGGGAGGAAGGGAGUAAAGUUAAUACCUUUGCUCAUUGACGUUACCCGCAGAAGAAGCACCGGCUAACUCCGUG